rnacentral:rRNA from 1 species
ACAGAGGGGGCAAGCGUUGUCCGGAAUUACUGGGCGUAAAGCGUACGCAGGUGGCCAUGCAAGUGUGAUGUGAAAGCCCCGCGCUUAACGCGGGGAGGCCAUUACAGACUGCAUAGCUCGAGGGAUGCAGAGGGUCGUGGAAUUGCCGGUGUAGUGGUGAAAUGCGUAGAGAUCGGCAGGAACACCAAGGACGAAGGUAGCGACCUGGGCAUCACCUGACACUCAUGUACGACAGCGUGGGGAGCGAACCGGAUUAGAUACCCGGGUAGUCCACGCCGUAAACGACGGAUGCUCGGCGUGUGGCGGCUAUCAACGCCGCUGGGCGCCUCAGCUGACGCGGAAGCAUCCCGCCUGGGAACUACGAGCGCAAGCUUA